UAACGAAUCUUCCGCAAUGCACGAAAGUGUGACGGAGCGACGCCGCGUGUGGGACGAAGCCCUUCGGGGUGUAAACCACUGUCAGGGGUUACCAAGUUCUGAGGAGCCCCAGAGGAAGGCACGGCUAACUCUGUGCCAGCAGCCGCGGUAAGACAGAGGUGCCAAGCGUUAGGCGGAAUCACUGGGCUUAAAGCGUGUGUAGGCGGGCGAUCAAGUACCUUGUGAAAUCCCACGGCUCAACCGUGGAACUGCUGGGUAUACUGGUUGUCUUGAGCCAGCUAGGGGCGAGCGGAACAGACGGUGGAGCGGUGAAAUGCGUAGAUAUCGUCUGGAACGCCGAAGGUGAAAACAGCUCGCUGGGGCUGCGCUGACGCUGAGACACGAAAGCCAGGGGAGCGAACGGGAUUAGAUACCCCCGUAGUCC
rnacentral:rRNA from 1 species